rnacentral:rRNA from 1 species
UUGAUAUUGGUGUUCGGUUCGGCUUGUGUAGGAUAGGUGGGAGACUUUGAAGCGGCCACGCCAGUGGUUGUGGAGUCGUCGUUGAAAUACCACUCUGGUCGUGCUGGAUGUCUAACCUGGGUCCGUGAUCCGGAUCAGGGACAGUGUCUGAUGGGUAGUUUAACUGGGGCGGUUGCCUCCUAAAGAGUAACGGAGGCGCCCAAAGGUUCCCUCAGCCUGGUUGGCAAUCAGGUGUUGAGUGUAAGUGCACAAGGGAGCUUGACUGUGAGACCGACGGGUCGAGCAGGGACGAAAGUCGGGACUAGUGAUCCGGCAGUGGCUUGUGGAAGCGCUGUCGCUCAACGGAUAAAAGGUACCCCGGGGAUAACAGGCUGAUCUUCCCCAAGAGUCCAUAUCGACGGGAUGGUUUGGCACCUCGAUGUCGGCUCGUCGCAUCCUGGGGCUGGAGUCGGUCCCAAGGGUUGGGCUGUUCGCCCAUUAAAGCGGUACGCGAGCUGGGUUUAGAACGUCGUGAGACAGUUCGGUCCCUAUCCGCUGUGCGCGUAGGAAUAUUGAGAAGGGCUGUCCCUAGUACGAGAGGACCGGGACGGACGAACCUCUGGUGUGCCAGUUGUCCUGCCAAGGGCAUGGCUGGUUGGCUACGUUCGGAAAGGAUAACCGCUGAAAGCAUCUAAGCGGGAAGCCUGCUUCGAGAUGAGUAUUCCCACCCUCUUGAAGGGUUAAGGCUCCCAGUAGACGACUGGGUUGAUAGGCCAGAUGUGGAAGCCCUGUAAGGGGUGGAGCUGACUGGUACUAAUAGGCCGAGGGCUUGUCCUCAGUUG